rnacentral:lncRNA from 10 species
AGAAUGUCUGCUUUCCUACCAGGAAGAGUGGCUUGGCCCUCUGCUGAGGCUCUCAGAGGUUCUCCCAGCCUUGGGAUCGCUGAGUAAAACCAGUCAGCACCAUGUCACCCUAUGGAGACUGGUAUUACCUUGCGCCUGUGUGUGGUGACAGCGGGCAUCCUUUGGCCUGCAUAGCAAAGGGCCACUCCCCUCCUUUCCUCCUGUCUCCCUUCUUCCCCAACCCCUCUCUCUUGGAGGACAGAGUCUGCUCCCCUAAAUUCUACUGGGUUCUUUUUCAGGCCUCCAUCCCUGGGAUUUGCUGGUAGAAGAAAGGGAAUCAGCGCUGACUGAGCUCCUACUAUGUGCCCUUCCUGGGCCUGGCACUGGAAUCACAGGAUGAAUGAAUAAGGCAUAUUUCCUGCCCUGAGGAGGCGUCUAUAGGGGAAGUCGGAAUUAAGGCACCUCCAGAAUUCUGAGGUCAAGGGAAUGUCAACAGAGCUGUGAACAAAAUGCCCAAAGCCAUGAAAAUCUACAGAGAGAGACUCGAAGGGGAGGAAUGGGGUAGGAGCUGGUGCCGAGGAUGAGAGGGGAGAAUUCACCUGGUGGAGAACUGAUAGGCCAGGCUGAGGUCGGGAUGGUGGAGGAGG